CCUACGGGUGGCAGCAGUGGGGAAUAUUGCGCAAUGGGCGAAAGCCUGACGCAGCGACGCCGCGUGAGGGAUGAAGGUCUUCGGAUCGUAAACCUCUGUCAGCAGGGAAGAACGGUCACUGUGCUAAUCAGCAGUGAAUUGACGGUACCUGCAAAGGAAGCACCGGCUAACUCCGUGCCAGCAGCCGCGGUAAUACGGAGGGUGCGAGCGUUAAUCGGAAUUACUGGGCGUAAAGCGCUCGUAGGCGGUAUGUCAAGUCAAGGGUGAAAUCCCCGCGCUCAACGUGGGAACUGCCUUUGAAACUGGCAAACUGGAGUGUGUGAGAGGAUAGUGGAAUUCCAGGUGUAGGAGUGAAAUGCGUAGAUAUCGGGAGGAACAUCAGUGGCGAAGGCGACUAUCUGGCACAUAACUGACGCUGAGGAGUGAAAGCGUGGGUAGCAAACAGGAUUAGAUACCCUUGUAGUC
rnacentral:rRNA from 1 species